AGCGAACGCUGGCGGCAGGCCUAACACAUGCAAGUCGAACGAACCCUUCGGGGUUAGUGGCGGACGGGUGAGUAACACGUGGGAACGUGCCUUUAGGUUCGGAAUAACUCAGGGAAACUUGUGCUAAUACCGAAUGUGCCCUUCGGGGGAAAGAUUUAUCGCCUUUAGAGCGGCCCGCGUCUGAUUAGCUAGUUGGUGAGGUAUGGCUCACCAAGGCUACGAUCAGUAGCUGGUCUGAGAGGAUGACCAGCCACAUUGGGACUGAGACACGGCCCAAACUCCUACGGGAGGCAGCAGUGGGGAAUCUUGCGCAAUGGGCGAAAGCUUGACGCAGCCAUGCCGCGUGGAUGAUGAAGGUCUUAGGAUUGUAAAAUCCUUUCACCGGUGAAGAUAAUGACUGUAGCCGGAGAAGAAGCCCCGGCUAACUUCGUGCCAGCCGCCGCGGUAACAC
rnacentral:rRNA from 1 species